rnacentral:rRNA from 1 species
UACGUAGGGUCCGAGCGUUGUCCGGAAUUAUUGGGCGUAAAGGGUAGGUAGGUGGUCUCGUUUGUCUGGGGUGAAAGCCUUGAGCUUAACUCAAGAAGUGCCUCAGAAACGGCGAGACUCGAGUCUUGGAGAGGGUCGUGGAAUUCCCGGUGUAGCGGUGAAAUGCGUAGAGAUCGGGAAGAACAUCAGUGGCGGAAGGCGGUCUGCUGGGCCGUUGCUGACGCUGAGGCGCGACAGCGGUGGGGAGCAAACAGG